GAUGAACGCUAGCUACAGGCUUAACACAUGCAAGUCGAGGGGAAACGGCAUCGAAAGCUUGCUUUUGAUGGGCGUCGACUGGCGCACGGGUGAGUAACGCGUAUCCAACCUGCCCACCACUUGGGGAUAACCUUGCGAAAGUAAGACUAAUACCCAAUGAUAUCUCUAGAAGACAUCUGAAAGGGAUUAAAGAUUUAUCGGUGAUGGAUGGGGAUGCGUCUGAUUAGCUUGUUGGCGGGGUAACGGCCCACCAGGGCGACGAUCAGUAGGGGUUCUGAGAGGAAGGUCCCCCACAUUGGAACUGAGACACGGUCCAAACUCCUACGGGAGGCAGCAGUGAGGAAUAUUGGUCAAUGGGCGAGAGCCUGAACCAGCCAAGUAGCGUGCAGGAUGACGGCCCUAUGGGUUGUAAACUGCUUUUAUAAGGGAAUAAAGUGGGAGUCGUGACUCCUUUUGCAUGUACCUUAUGAAUAAGGACCGGCUAAUUCCGUGCCAGCCGCCGCGGUAA
rnacentral:rRNA from 1 species